GUAGGGCCCAAGCCAGCCAGGAAGGAGGAGGCAGCCAGAGAGGCCUCCACUGUUUUCUGCAGCAGAAGACCCCCUGCUUCCAGCCUCAAGCAACACCACCUUUGCUGCUGCUGCUGCUGCUGUGUCCCUUUUCCUUUUUUGAUUGUUGGGCGGGUGGGUGCCUGGCACUCACCUGCCCUUCCCCCAGCUGUUGAGACCCAGAAUGUCUGCUCAGCCUGAGUGCCUUGAAGAGCAGAACCUGGCCAGACUUCAGCAGAAGAUGGUGGUCGCUUGAAGUUCUUCAGCAGCAAAGAUAUAAGAGGAAGGCACAAAAUGUGGGAAGGCCCAUCCUCACUGUUUGUCCCAGGGCCCAGCCUUGCUACACUCUUGGGUUAAACUAAAGAGGACCUGUCUGGCUUUGUACUGUGUUUGCUGAUUCAUCUGAAAUUGAGAAAAAACAUUGAUUUGAAAUAAAUCAAUUAACUCCGAGCAAGGGGCUGAUGAAGCAAAAAUAAUUAGUAUGGACAAGAAAGAAUAAAAGCCACACAAACAAGGAAGGAGCAUUUUAGUUGAAUUUGAAUGAGACUGGCAGGUGAGGUUCAAGACGAAAGGAAAGAAGAGUUCAAUAUGUGAGAGAAAAUAGCAAAUGGAAUAUAGUUCAGCUUUGGUUUGCAAACUGUAUUGAAAACCAGAUUAAUCUGAUAACUUUGUUCGAAAGGAUGCCACCUUUCUCUAAACAAGCAGUAGAGUUUUAUUAAAAUAUGAUGCAAUAGUUCAAAUUUGCAUAUAAUACAAAUAUGUUAGGUGAAACAAAAAAGAAAGAGUAAAGGGAAGAAGGCAAAGGUUUUUGCUAAAUAGCUAACUUUCAAGUUGGAGAAAAAUAACUAAUGAGUCAUUGGAUCUAUUUUAUUCAACAUGUCAUCAUUUCUUCACACAAUAAGGUCGUGCACACAACCAUCUUCUGUUGGUUGGGAGGAUGUGGGGGAAAGGCAAGAUCGAACUUACCUUCCCCUCAGAUGAUCUUGAUCGAUGUGUGGGACACGCUGCUUGUGCACCCAUGUGAUCUCUGGAAAUGUGAUCUCUGGCCGGGGAAAUGAGUCCUAGCCUCCAGCAAUCCCUAAAUGCACUGCACAACCAGUGUGGAACCUUUAGGGAUUCCCCUGUGAGUUGGGUGCUUAUCUCUGUGUCUGCUCGGGCUGUGUGCAGCCUGAGCAAACACACAACCCCAAACCUGGGGUAUAGGCCACACUUGCGCAUUUAACCCAGGUUAAAGCCUGGGGUAAAUUCCAGAGCUUAUGGGGGAGGCAGUGCCAGGAUGGGCCCCAAUCCUGGCGCUUCACACAGGCAGCCAAACUCAGGCAGGGCUGCCCAAGGGUUUGGCUGCUGAGUUUGGCUGCUCAUGUGAACAGCCUUAAUGAGUCAUUCACUUACAGAAUUCAUUACCACAAGAUAUGAUGGGUGACAGCUGAGAUGGCUUCAAAAAAGCAAUCACAUUGAAUAGCUCAAUGGGACCUCCAUGUACAGACGCAAUAUACCUGAGUAUCAGAUGCUUCAGGGGAAGGCCAAUAGCCUUUAUUUCAGACUAGGCCCAACCCUUAAUUUAAAUUGGUGUCUUGCUUGUGAGUUUACAAAAGAGUGACUGGGAAGAUAUGUUUCUGCUGGCCCAGCUUCAUGGAAUAAGGAAAUGUGUAUACUAUGAGGGCACACAUCUUGCACACAUCUUUCCUCCUACCUAUCUUGCAUAUGUUUCCACUCGAGAUAUUAUGUACACUAAUCAACCAACUGAUCUCUUGUGUGAACAGCUAACUGGCUACAUUAAUCGGUUAAUUGGCUACAUUAAUGUCUUCAUCAGCUUGUAUUUAUUAUGUAUUAAUUUUCUAGUACGCCUUUCAACAACAAAUUGGGCUCCCAAGGCAGCUUACAACAAACAGUAAAAUAUUAAAACUUAUCAAACCAGGCAAGAAGCACAGAUUGCAAGAGAUUUUGAACCCGGGCUUCAUAUGUGAAGCUGAGUAAAUGAGGGGCUUCAUAGACGAAUAGUAUUCCUCAAGGCACCCCAAACACAGGAUCUUAAGACUUAAUUGGGUUUGAGCUUAAAAAGACAGCCAGCAUGGUGUUGUGGUUAGAGUGCUGGACUAGGACUGGAGUGGCCUGAGUUCAAAUCCCCACUCAGCCAUGAAACCCAUUGGGUGUCUCUGGGCCAGUCACUUCUCUCUUAGCCCAGCCUACAUCACAGUGCUGUAUACCACUGUGGGCUCCUUGAAGGAAGAGCAGGAGAGAAAUGUAAUAAAUAAAUAAAUAAUUUUAAAGCCAACAUCUUAGGACCUACAUUGUGCUUGGGAACUAAUUGGUUGCCACUGGCUGACAUCCUGAUUAAAUUUACUCAAGGGAAUCCCAUUGAAGUUAAAAGGACAAUUUAAAUAUUUUAAUAUGACUAACUUGUCCUUUCAGUUUCAAUGGGAGUUCCUCAAGUAAAUUUAGUCGAGAUGUCAGCCAAAGUGAUUUAUAUAUUUGAAAGUGUCUAAGGGAACCUUCAGUUAGUUAUGCUCUGGUUAAUAGCUGGUUUUGUUGAAACUGCUAUUGUAAAGCUACCUGCCAGUUUUACUUAGUUGUAUUAUGAAGUGUCAGUUAUGAACCCAGCCUUGUUUGCAAGUCUAAUCUUUGGUAUAAUUUGUGAGAUCACCAGCAAAUACACUACAAUGCUGUUGCCAUACUGCAGAAAUAUCUCUGUGGUUUACACCAGGCAGUGACCUACAUUCUGUGCAGCACCCCACCAAUUGAAGAGCAGAGCACUCGUGGUUGGUUUCAUGCAACUGCAAAGCCCACGUAUGCUGCUAGCAAACACAGGGAGACUCUUCGGCUACUAGUAAAAAUUGUGUCCUCGCUGCAAUGAUGCUUCAUUGCUACCGUGACAAUGCAGUUCUUAGUAGCCACAGAGCCCUUCCAUGUUCACUGUGUGGACAGGUUUUGGGGUGCACAGAACCAGCACUUGCACCCCACUCUUGGACUAGUGGUGCACUGCACAGAAGGUAAGCCAGUAUCUGAGAAGCCACUGAUUAACAAGAUUUUGUGACUGCAAAAGCUGGAUGCAGCAUUUCAGCUAUGUCACUGCUUUCUGCAAGAAUAGAAGUGUUUCCCUUUGCCUACGAAAACACCUACUCUCACAAACCCAACAUUGCAUUAGUCCAUCUGCGCAGCUGCAUCAUACCGAUGGCUUCAGAGUCAUCUUACAUUCUGUCAGGGCUCCAAGCAGGUACCUUUCAUUUAUUGUUUCCCAAGGUCAUGAGAUGUCUGCAACUGACAAAUUGUAUUGUAGCCAAUGAAAGUGU